rnacentral:rRNA from 1 species
GAUGAACGCUGGCGGCGUGCCUAAUACAUGCAAGUCGAGCGAACAGAUGAGGAGCUUGCUCCUCUGACGUUAGCGGCGGACGGGUGAGUAACACGUGGAUAACCUACCUAUAAGACUGGGAUAACUUCGGGAAACCGGAGCUAAUACCGGAUAAUAUAUUGAACCGCAUGGUUCAAUAGUGAAAGACGGUUUUGCUGUCACUUAUCGAUGGAUCCGCGCCGCAUUCGCUAGUUGGUAAGGUAACGGCUUACCAAGGCAACGAUGCGUAGCCGACCUGAGAGGGUGAUCGGCCACACUGGAACUGAGACACGGUCCAGACUCCUACGGGAGGCAGCAGUAGGGAAUCGUCCGCAAUGGGCGAAAGCCUGACGGAGCAACGCCGCGUGAGUGAUGAAGGUCUUCGGAUCGUAAAACUCUGUUAUUAGGGAAGAACAAAUGUGUAAGUAACUAUGCACGUCUUGACGGUACCUAAUCAGAAAGCCACGGCUAACUACGUG